rnacentral:rRNA from 1 species
GAUGAACGCUGGCGGCGUGCCUAAUACAUGCAAGUCGAGCGAACAGACGAGGAGCUUGCUCCUCUGACGUUAGCGGCGGACGGGUGAGUAACACGUGGAUAACCUACCUAUAAGACUGGGAUAACUUCGGGAAACCGGAGCUAAUACCGGAUAAUAUAUUGAACCGCAUGGUUCAAUAGUGAAAGACGGUUUUGCUGUCACUUAUAGAUGGAUCCGCGCCGCAUUAGCUAGUUGGUAAGGUAACGGCUUACCAAGGCAACGAUGCGUAGCCGACCUGAGAGGGUGAUCGGCCACACUGGAGCUGAGACACGGUCCAGACUCCUACGGGAGGCAGCAGUAGGGAAUCUUCCGCAAUGGGCGAAAGCCUGACGGAGCAACGCCGCGUGAGUGAUGAAGGUCUUCGGAUCGUAAAACUCUGUUAUUAGGGAAGAACAAAUGUGUAAGUAACUAUGCACGUCUUGGCGGUACCUAAUCAGAAAGCCACGGCUAACUACGUG